rnacentral:rRNA from 1 species
AACGAACGCUGGCGGCAUGCCUAACACAUGCAAGUCGAACGAGACCUUCGGGUCUAGUGGCGCACGGGUGCGUAACGCGUGGGAACCUUCCCUUAGGUUCGGAAUAACUCCCCGAAAGGGGUGCUAAUACCGGAUAAUGUCUUCGGACCAAAGAUUUAUCGCCUUUGGAUGGGCCCGCGUUGGAUUAGCUAGUUGGUAGGGUAAAAGCCUACCAAGGCGACGAUCCAUAGCUGGUCUGAGAGGAUGAUCAGCCACACUGGGACUGAGACACGGCCCAGACUCCUACGGGGGGCAGCAGUGGGGAAUAUUGGACAAUGGGCGAAAGCCUGAUCCAGCAAUGCCGCGUGAGUGAUGAAGGCCUUAGGGUUGUAAAGCUCUUUUACCCGGGAUGAUAAUGACAGUACCGGGAGAAUAAGCUCCGGCUAACUCCGUG